CCUACGGUGGGCUGCAGUAAGGAAUAUUGGGCAAUGGACGCAAGUCUGACCCAGCCAUGCCGCGUGCAGGAAGAAUGCCCUCUGGGUUGUAAACUGCUUUUGUACGGGAAAAAACCCCUGAUCGUGCAUCAGGGCUGAUGGUACCGUAAGAAUAAGGAUCGGCUAACUCCGUGCCAGCAGCCGCGGUAAUACGGAGGAUCCAAGCGUUCUCCGGAUUUAUUGGGUUUAAAGGGUGCGUAGGCGGAAUGAUAAGUCAGAGGUGAAAGCCCACAGCUUAACUGUGGAACUGCCUUUGAUACUGGCAAUCUUGAGUACAUUGGAAGUGGGCGGAAUGUGUUGUGUAGCGGUGAAAUGCUUAGAUAUAACACAGAACACCGAUUGCGAAGGCAGCUCACUAAGCUGUAACUGACGCUGAGGCACGAAAGCGUGGGGAUCAAACA
rnacentral:rRNA from 1 species